UUGCGCUGUGCUGCACAUAAUGCGCAGAACAUCCUUCAUGUACAGUCAUUGCAAAUCCCUGUGAAUUUUGGGCACAUAUGCUAACGCAGGUUUGAUUUUCGUGAACAUAUUGUACAGCCAGUGAGGACAUGGAACCUUGAAAGUAUGGCGGAUGCUGAGGAGCCGGAGAAGAAAAGAAGGAAAAUAGAGGAGCUGACUGAGAAAAUGGCUGUAGAUGGAGGACAUAAAGAUAGUGGAGACUGGGAUGGCCGAUGGAACCAUGUGAAGAAGUUCCUGGAAAGACCCGGCCCAUUUACUCAUCCUGACUUUGAGCCAAGCGUUGAGUCCCUUGGAUUCUUAUUGGAGACAUGCAAAAUCCUGGUCAUUGGAGCUGGAGGACUUGGAUGUGAGCUGCUCAAAAAUCUGGCUCUUUCAGGUUUUCGUCACAUUCAUGUUGUUGACAUGGAUACCAUCGAUAUCUCCAACCUCAACAGGCAGUUCCUUUUCAGGCCCAACGAUGUUGGCCGGCCAAAAGCAGAUGUGGCUGCUGACUUUGUCAAUAAUCGCAUCCCUGGAUGUAAAGUUGUCCCACACUUCAACAAAAUACAAGACUUUGAUGAAUCUUUCUAUAGACAAUUCCACAUUAUUGUUUGUGGAUUAGAUUCGAUCAUCGCCAGGCGUUGGAUGAAUGGCAUGCUGAUAUCCCUUCUGAGCUACAAUGAUGGUGUUCUGGACCCCAGUUCCAUCAUCCCCCUCAUUGACGGUGGGACGGAGGGUUUCAAAGGCAAUGCUCGGGUCAUUCUGCCUGGCAUGACCGCGUGCAUCGACUGCACUCUGGCGCUUUACCCACCACAGAUUAAUUUCCCCAUGUGCACCAUUGCGUCUAUGCCGCGGUUGCCAGAGCACUGCGUUGAGUAUGUCAGAAUGCUACAGUGGCCCAAAGACGAGCCUUUUGGAGAGGGUGUUGGUUUGGAUGGGGAUAACCCUGAGCACAUCCAGUGGGUGUUCCAGAGGGCCCAUGAGAGAGCUGCUGACUACAACAUCACAGGAGUCACAUAUAGACUAACACAAGGUGUCGUGAAGAGGAUCAUCCCUGCUGUCGCGUCAACUAAUGCUGUAAUAGCUGCUGCCUGCUCCACUGAAGUUUUUAAAAUGGCUUCAAGCGCUUAUAUUCCACUGAAUAAUUAUCUGGUAUUUAAUGAUGUGGACGGACUGUACACCUACACGUUCGAGGCAGAGCGAAAGGAGAACUGCUCAGCUUGUAGCCAGGUGCCCCAGGAUCUACAGUUCCCACCCUCUGCCAAGCUACAGGAGGUCCUGGAGUACCUGACUGAGAACGCCUCCCUCUUUCAUCUUUUCCAGACAAAUGAAGUCCCCAGCCAUCACAGCAACCCUGGAAGGGAAAAAUAAGACACUAUAUCUACAGACUGUAGCUUCAAUUGAAGAAAGAACUAGACCCAACCUUUGCAAAACCUUGAAAGAACUGGGAUUGUCUGAUGGACAGGAACUAGCAGUGGCAGAUAUCACCACACCUCAGACUGUCCUCUUCAAGCUGAAACUCACCUCUUAAACCGUCAAAGUACACAUACAGAAUCUAUCAAGACAUUUGACAACCUUUGGGGAAAGUGAUACAGCGUGGUAUUGUUUUAAUAUAUUUGAGACUGAUCAUGUAUGUAAGAUCCAUUAUGGCGGGUAGUGUGGAAGGUCAACAACUUUAUAUCAUUACAAUGUAAUCAGUCGGAACGUUUUCCUUAACAAUUCUGUUUUACUUAUUAAUGUUUGCUCCAAAUGGAUAUCUUCUUUCCCCCAUUCAAAAUAAGUAGUUUCUCCUUAUAUACAUAAUGACAACUGUGCUGCAAUAAAGUGUUUUGUUAAUGAAA